UCUUCCUUCCUCCUUCCAUUAUUCUAUUACUUUCUUCCCUCUAUUCCUUCUUCUUCUUUCCAGCUCUUCACUAAUAAUACAUGUAUAUAAUUGCAAUUGGUGUAUUGGCAAUUAUGAAGGACAGCUUGUGCGUGAAUGUAGGUGUGCUAGCUUAUUGAGUCAGGAGAAAUAUAUAUUAUUUACUAACAUGAUUGUGGGAAACACAAUGAUCACAAGGAAUAACAUCAUGAUGAUAGAAUAUAACUUUUCUUCCUUAUAUUCUUUCUUCUUCUUUCUCUCUUCUUGGAGUUCUUCGUUUCUCCUUACCGAACACAGUGAGAUAAGUUGAGAGUGAGAGAGAUUGAGUGACUGAGAGAAGGAGAAUUGCAGAGGGAGAAACCGGUUCUGCCGUAGCCGUGCGUGACCCAGCCGACCCGGCGUCGACCCAGGGGCAACUCCGACGGGUUCUGGCCGUGACCGGCGAACCCAGCAACCCGGAUUUCCAAGCAUCUCAUUCCUUCCGAACAACCGAAGCGUGACCAAACCUAGAACCGGAUUCUAGCCAAUUCCCCAAAUGCGAGACGCCAGUGGACACCAAGAAGACCUGAUUUGGGCCAUGUUUCCAGUAGGCCAGAAGAACCUACAGAUUUAUCCAACCCAAUCUAAUCUGACCUGCAAGCCCAACCCAACAGCAAUCCACAAAUCGAUUUCAGCCCAGACCCGCAAGCCCAUCAACCCAGACCCAGCAGCCCAAAACCCAUAAGCCCCACAAACUAGUUCUAAACCAGCAACCCACAAGCCCAAAGCCCAGACCGAAGCCAUUAAACCCAGCAGUAACCCAUACCCACUGAGCUUGACCCGAACCCGGAACCCCGACCCGCCGGCGACCCGCCGCCGGCAGUUUCUCCGGCGACUUUCCGGCCACUUUCCGGCCACUUUUCCGGCGACUUUCCGGCCACUUUCCGGCUAUUUUCCCCGGCGACCAAACUCACCGUUUCGCUGGAUUUUCGAGUGGAAAUCCUUAAUAUGAUGAAUUGAGACAGCACAAAAAGGACUAUGACUGUGCAGGCACAGACACUGACGAGUAUCAGGAUUAUCAGGAGCCUUAUGAUGAUUCUGGUUUCAUAGAUGAGACUGUCUAAA